UUUUGAAUUUCUUUCUGAAUAGAAAUCUAUGUUAGAUUGAGAGAAUAUCAGUUAAUAAAUGGAAGGCUAUCACAGUCUAUGGAAAGUCUAUGGCAUUUGGAAGAGAAAUAGUUUUAUGUACUUGUUUUAGUUUUCAAAGUAUGUCAGUAGAUUGAAAAUAGUAUCUUGGUGACUGCUCCUGCAUAGUCUGUGAUUAUCUGGAUUUUAAGAUCGAGAAGUACUUUUUUUCCAAGAGCAUCAGGGGUUAAAGAAAAAGACAUCAUAAAGAGCAUGUUUUAAGUACAAGAAUCAGAUGGAUCAUUAUUACUUUCUGACUUCCUUAAUUUCUCUCACUCUAAAACAGUAUUUCCUCAUCAUUGCUGUUGUGAAUCAAGAGCGAAGGACUGCAGAAAUAACUGUUGUCUGAGGACAAGGAGCUUGGCUGAAGGGAAGAACCUGCACUAACCCUGGAAUUAUUGUCUCUGUCUUUUCCUCUCUGUUUUGUUGAAAGAGAAGUCCAAGAAAACUGCUGGUACUAACAGAAGAUGAAAAUAUGAUUUUUGCUAACAUCAUAUAUUAUCCAAGCAAAUCUGUUCUGUGAAAGGUAGUUUUUUUCAUUGUUUUGAAAUAAAGAAUCAGUGAAUUGUUCUUGAAGGAGUAUUGUUUCAGACUUUUCUUGCCUCUAUCACUGCUGCCCCACCCCUACUUUUCCUUUUCUACUUUGUCUGUCUUUAGGGAUCUUAAUAUUGAUGCUAGCUGCAAAUGGUUGUUAAACAAAUUUUCUUCAGUCCUUAAGCAUAGCUGCUUCAUUUGAGUUGAUGUAACGCAAGAAUAAUCUCUGCUGUGAGGCUAGAGGCCAUACCCAGCUAUAGCAGUAUUGAUACUGAUUUUCUGGCUCCCACAUUUCAUUGCAAAUUUUAUUUAGAGGUAGUAAGUUUUCUUUGCUGAGAAACUGUAGCAGCAGCAUCUACUAAAGUUGUGUUUGGUCUACUUAAAAGUUUUUAAAUAGUAUUCCGUUUGUGAACAUCUGACUUAGUUAAAUUGAACUUUGACUAUAAAACACUGUGGAUAUGACCAGUCACAGUAUUUGUUGAGAUGAUGUUAUCUGCAGCAGCAGAGAAGAAAGCAGGUGAAUAAAAUAUAGACGGUAUUCCAACAUUGAAUCAGUUAAAAAAGAAACCUAACUGGAUAAGUUAGGUAGAUUAUACUAGUUUUACAGAUAAUUCUAGGCAGUAAGGCUGAAAAGGAGGUGAAGUUAGUUAUGUGAGUGGCUGGAGAGAUGUGAUGACUUAGUGUAAGUUUUAGACUGUCACAUCAGCAAGAUUCUCAGUCCAAAAUCCAGUAUCUUGGCUGAGACACUGGGGGAGCUGGGACACUGAGCAUCUCUUGGCUGCUGGGAAUGCAAAUGAUUCCAAGAGAGGGAUGUAAACCCUGUAAAAGCUUUUCCUUUGAAGUUAGGUAAAAUAUGGACUUUUACAACUGUUUAAUUAAGUUAUUUCAAUUUGUUGUAAUUCUUAACUUCAAGGAAAUAAAAAAUACACAGAACCAAUUGUAGUGAUGUCUAAAUUGGCACUUAAUAAAUGCUGCUUAAUCCUUCCAGAGUGGAUAAUAGCCAACUGCACUCUGCUUAGUGUCUGAGGACCUAGUGCAUCCUUUUUUACUCAAAGAAAAGUAGCAUAAAAAUAGAUGUUUGUACAAUACAUCUGUGCUAAGAAACCCUCAAAUCAAUGGGUACAACCAUUGUGCCAAUGGUACAAAGCUGACUGAUGGCUGUUCCAAAUGAUCAAUCCUUUCUUUUUUGAAUUUUUGUUUCCUUGUUGUGUAGCUUGGACCUUUUAUAUAAAGUAAGUAUUUAAACAUUUUUUUCUCUUAUAUACCCUUCUGAAUACAUCACGUGUGCAUUUUUCUUUCCAGCUAAUGCUGUUGUGUGAAUGAGGGGCAAGGCUUGCAGUGGCACACAGCCUUUUUAGAAAAUAGUUUGAAACUUGGUAGUUCUGUGUUGUGUCAGGCAAGAUGCUUCCCAUGAGUUUGUAUGAAGUGUUUUGCUACUGCAAAAAUAUAAGAAGGAAGGUGCAGCUGUCCCCACAAAAGCAAAAUCUGGAGCCUUACUGGUAUGUGGAAGUGUUGUCCCUGAGCAAGGCAGGGGCUUCUGGCUCAUGGUGAAUUGAGUUUGUUCUAUGCAGUGCAUUGAAUCUCUUGCCCUACCUUUGCUCUGAGUCAGUGCUUUGCAGGAAGUUAAGAGUUAAUAUAUCUUAUUAUGUAUUAUGUUAACAUAUCUUAUAAUGUAUCUUAUUUCUGUACAAAGCAAAUGCUGCCAUGUGAUUUGGAGUCCUAUCCCUCAUUUCCCCUCACUUUGAGCAGUGGUUUGCUGUAUCUUACUUUGUAAUUCUUGAAACGUCUUUAUGAUUGAUUUUUAUUUAAUAUGUGUUAGGCUUCAACCUCUCCCCAGUUUCCUUUUAACCUUGUCAGAUUUCUCUCUGGUAUUCCUCCUUCUUCUAUUUUGAAACCAUUAAACUCCUGUAAUAUAAAUUGACUUACACCUCAGCUUUGGUAAGUAUUUUUGAGAAACAUGGAGAAACUGAUGCAUGCAGAAAAUGUUGGACUUUUGGGGUCGGGGAGGGAGACCCUGGAUGUUCUGGGCAGAACUUUGAAGAUGGAGUCCUUGCAAACUUUCAGUCAUCUUGUAAGUUAUUCAACAUAAACUGUAUAAAGACUACAGCAAAGUUGGUAAGGGUUCUUUCAUUAUUUAUAGAAAUAUAUACUGGCAUAGCAGUACUAAUUAUCUAUAUAGUAUAUAUCUGUGUGUACUAUGAUGUAGACUGUCAUGUCCCCUGAAAAGAUGGCUGUUUUUUUCUCCAGUUAAGUGACAGUCAUAUAGCAUGCACUUAACCAUGUUCUUAAUUGUUUUGUAAUACAGGAGUGGAAUUAAUGUCCUCGUGUGCUUUGCUGAGUCAAGAUCUUGGUGAAUUCCUGUACUCAUGUUUCAUGCAGUUAACUCUCUACUGAUGUUCUUUCUGUUAAGAGUGAUCAAGUCACAAAGCAAUUAUACUCCCACAAGCUGUCCUUUAAUAACCUUUGUCAUUUGUCAAAGUACAUUAGGGCCUUGCAUAUUUUUACAGAGAAGCUACUGGUCUUCACGAAGUAAUAGUGUGUUCUGAUGUGCCAGCUCAUCUUCCUUGCCAAAUUGCUGUUGGUUCAGAGGGGAGCUCACUUCAGUUUAAAGAAAUAUCUUUUGUGUCUUUCUCUCAGACCAAAAGAUUUUCAAACGAGAUUAAAAUCUUAGUUAGCAGCAGUCAGCAAACAAUGCUCAUUUGAACCAACUCAGCCUUCCAGUCUGGCAAAGCUUAGAUUUUAAGCUAUUCAAUAAUCUUUGGAUAUGAAUGUAACUUGUAUUAAACUAGAAAAGGUAUAAUGAUCUUCAUAUGCUGAACUGUGACAGUGUUUUAAUAAGCAUGUAUUUAUGAUACUGCACCUGUAUGAGUAUUUUGGGACUUAUGGUACUGCUGUUUAUACUACAAAGUUGUAACUCAAUGUGAUCUCGUCUUCUCCACUUAUUUUGUUUCUUAAGUAAGUGUUAAAACUACAAGCAGUCAAGGUGUAUUCCUCCUUGUAAUUUACCGGCAUGAAGUAGAUAUUUGGGGUUGGCAUGUCCUUGAGUUACCUGCUAUAGGGGAAACUACAUGAAAGAAAAAGAGAGCAACUCCCUGAAAAACUAUUUGAUAUUUUGUGAACGGUCUAGUGUUAAGGAUUAAAAGAUAUGAUAAUUCUAUUGCAGUUGUGGUAAUUUAAGCAUAUAAAUUUCCCUUCAGUCCUGACAACCUCUUCAUCAGGUAGAGAGCUCUGAUGCUUAGAGUACAUAUUGCAUCUCUACUUCAGGGAUUGCUUUCUCCUAGGUAAAAAAUGUUGAAGCCUGGUAGAUCACUGCUUCUUUGUAGAUGUGCAUACACUCCAGUAUUCAGUUCUUGGGUACACAUGGAGACAGAUGAAGUAUGUAGAAGUCAGUCAAACAUGCUUUGCUGACCUCUGUCCGGAGCUGGGAUUUAUCAAUAUGUACAGUUUGUAGUGAAAGUAGGCUGUGACCUUUUGAAAUAUGCAAAUAUAUUUUACCAUUGUUACUAUGUAGAAAAUAAAGCUUUAACUCUAUAUUCCACAUUUCUAGCUGUUCUGGUUAAACUAGAGAUUCUGUAUCUUCAUAAUGAACAAUAUAAUUUUCAAGAGAAGCAUUUAAAUUAGCACAUAAGCAGCCAUUAUAAAAAGUUAACUAAUGAAAAUCUUUAGCAUUGUAGUCUCUGAUAUCUUUUUUGAAGCAAACAUUUUUCCUUGUAAAAAUAUUUCUAAAAAAUAUUUUUAAUUUAAAAUUAAAUUUUAAUUUAAUCCCAAUUGUGCUACUUUAUUAUUGUAACAAAGUGGGUAAACUCUCCAUUGGAGAGGUUUCAUUGUAAUGCUGAUGCUAUUUCUGUUCCAUGUAUUCUCCCUCUGUUGCUUGUGUGAAUAUGCACAUGCAGGUAUUUACACAUAUUCUGAUUCAUCUAGGCAUUCUCAUGGAAUUCUGUCCCAUUGUUGAGCUGUUAGCCUUGAUAUUGUAUGUGGCUUUUAUUUUUAUUUUACAAAUACCCAUCUGGCCACUGAAAACAAGUAUUUGUUGAUGGAUUAGAAAGGUUCAAGGUUCUUGAAGUUUGCACGUCCUGUGAAAAAGACAGGUCAAUUUUUUCUCUCUGGGCAUCUGUCUCUCAUAAGCUCAUAAAUUGUUCUUGAGGCUAGAUAGAAAAAAUACUGAAGGCAACAUCAUAUUUAAGAGUUUAAAUGUGCUGAUUGGAGUGUCUCAGAGUCUAACCUCAGGCAAAAGGUCUUGUGUUCAGUCUUUUUGACUGAUGUAGAGUGGUCCACUGUUAAUAAUUUAGUGUUGAAACCUACUAAAAGAAAAAUAGGAGACUCAUAACAUCAGUAUCACUGUUGAUUUUUCGUAGAAAAGAUGAAAUAGUUGUAUUUUGAUGUAUGUUUCCAUUCUUUACACACUUAACUGUUCUCUAAUGUAUCACUGCAUCUGAUUUUUUCCUUAAUGAGCAAUGUUUUUAUAUCUACAGAACACAGAGUUUGCCCUGCAGGACCUUAUGUUCAUUUUUAGUUUGCUCUAUUUGUGUAGUAAAUAAAAAAUGAGUAGCAUUGCCAUUAGCCCUUUUAUAUGCAUUACUCCUGACCAUGCUUGUGAGUAAUCUGCUAAAGAAUGUGCACGUUCUCAGUUUGUAGCAAAAUAGGGCCUGUAAUAAUUUCAUUUUUUGAAUCAGCCUAAAAUGCACAGCAACAGAAAGAACCUUUGUUUAAGCAAGGAUUUCGAUGGCUGCAAAAAUCAACAUGCUGUAGGUUUAGGUCCAGUCUUUGUCAGAUGUGAGCAUGUUGUACUUCACUCUCCCAUUUUUAGUAGGUAUGAGUGGUGAAAUGCAGGAUGGAUCAUCUCUAAAUUGUCUCCUGGAGUUCUAAAACUUGUUUGCUUUAAUAAAGGAUAAAUAUUUUGCAUUUUAGAACUUCAGAGUUCAAUUUUGGCAAUGAUGUGUAGGGUAAACAUUUCUUGUGUGACUUGAAGGAUUGUUCAGUGAGAACUGUUUCCUUAGCAAAACAUGACAUCAAAUGUGCACACAAAAAAGUUUUGAAAACUUAUUUUUAUUCUUUGGAAAUAGUGUAUUUUCUGAAAUAGUGUAUAGUUGUUAUAGAUUUUAGACGUUCUUCUGAGGGUAAAUAAUUAUGUAUGUAGUCAGUAGUUGGCAGAAGACUUUUAUUUUUUCAGAAAAUGUGAAUAUCAGAGAGUUGAACAGCUACUAUAGGAUGUGUAGCUCAUUCAAACUUCUAAGAGUGCAGAAGCAGUAGUGAGGAAAUGACCUUUUCUUUUAUAGAGUGCUAUGGUGCUGUUUAAAACUUGUCUGGGUUGACUUUCUGUAUUGUUUUUCUUCAUUAUGUUUCCCAGUAAGUACAGAUACAUCCUUGAUGGAAUCAUGAUAUUUUAUAAAUUAUUUAAGUAAGAUAGACUCUUUAGAAAAUAAUAUAAUUAUUCAACUGUACAACUUAAUAUCCAGCCUAUAUAUGGAAUAUAUAAUUAGAAUAACACUGAAGGUCAGAUUUUAAGUGCUUGUGUUCUAGAGCUAUGAAAAAAAUAUAAAAAUGAUAGUUAGGAUCAAAAUAGAUAUUAAACUCUUAAGCAUUUACUGUAUCUUUGGAAAUAGAAUGAACUUUGGUAGCAGCUGUUGUCUUGCUUACAUUUCGUGUUCACUAAAAUAAAGAUUUAUAAAAGUGAGCAUUUUAAACUCUUCUUAAUCUUCCUCAGAUCAUGUUAACCUGGUUUUCUUGUACUACUCUGAAAUUGAUGCUCAAACAGAGGAGAAGGGAGGGAUAAUUGGGCAAUCGCUGUGGCUUUGGAAAACACUGAUUUUGUCCCUGUUGAAGGGGUGGUGUUUUCCCUUCUAAUUGCCUCAGAAAUGUUACUGUCUGUCCCUGUGUUAAUCUGAUCAUCUGAGCUCUCUUCAGUUUUUUGUUGCUGUCCACUCCUGUUGGUUUUUUUCUACCUGCAGCUCAUAUGCUUUCUACCUCUCAUUAAAAUAUACUAAAAA